UGAGGCGUGGCUUCCGGAGCUAACGCGUUAAGUCGACCGCCUGGGGAGUACGGCCGCAAGGUUAAAACUCAAAUGAAUUGACGGGGGCCCGCACAAGCGGUGGAGCAUGUGGUUUAAUUCGAUGCAACGCGAAGAACCUUACCUACUCUUGACAUCCAGAGAACUUUCCAGAGAUGGAUUGGUGCCUUCGGGAACUCUGAGACAGGUGCUGCAUGGCUGUCGUCAGCUCGUGUUGUGAGAUGUUGGGUUAAGUCCCGCAACGAGCGCAACCCUUAUCCUUUGUUGCCAGCGGUCCGGCCGGGAACUCAAAGGAGACUGCCAGUGAUAAACUGGAGGAAGGUGGGGAUGACGUCAAGUCAUCAUGGCCCUUACGAGUAGGGCUACACACGUGCUACAAUGGCGCAUACAAAGAGAAGCGACCUCGCGAGAGCAAGCGGACCUCAUAAAGUGCGUCGUAGUCCGGAUUGGAGUCUGCAACUCGACUCCAUGAAGUCGGAAUCGCUAGUAAUCGUAGAUCAGAAUGCUACGGUGAAUACGUUCCCGGGCCUUGUACACACCGCCCGUCACACCAUGGGAGUGGGUUGCAAAAGAAGUAGGUAGCUUAACCUUCGGGAGGGCGCUUACCACUUUGUGAUUCAUGACUGGGGUGAAGUCGUAACA
rnacentral:rRNA from 1 species